GAAAACGGGUGGCCCAAUUGGGUUGGGCGAUGGACUGCUAAUUUCCAAAUUUUGGGGUUUCUGCCCCCGUGGGUUCGAAUCCCAUCCCUUUUCG